rnacentral:rRNA from 1 species
AUGGCUCAGGAUGAACGCUGGCGGCGUGCUUAACACAUGCAAGCGAACGAAGCAAGGGAGCUUGCUCCCAAAGCUUAGUGGCGGACGGGUGAGUAACGCGUGGGUAACCUGCCCUAUAGAGGGGGAUAACGUUCGGAAACGAACGCUAAUACCGCAUAAACCAUAAAGAGCUGCAUGGCUCUGAUGGCAAAGAUUUAUCGCUAUAGGAUGGACCUGCGUUGGAUUAGCUAGUUGGUGAGAUAACAGCUCACCAAGGCGACGAUCCAUAGCCGGCCUGAGAGGGUGAACGGCCACAUUGGGACUGAGACACGGCCCAAACUCCUACGGGAGGCAGCAGUGGGGAAUAUUGCACAAUGGGCGCAAGCCUGAUGCAGCGACGCCGCGUGAAGGAAGAAGGUCUUCGGAUUGUAAACUUCUAUCAGCAGGGAAGAAUAAAUGACGGUACCUGACUAAGAAGCCCCGGCUAACUACGUGCCAGCCGCCGC